rnacentral:lncRNA from 1 species
CAGAAAAGCUUCAAGAGGGAGGCUUAAAGAGAGCAUUUUAGAGUAAGGCACAACAGGAUUGCAAGGUUUUGGCAAAGCGGGCUGUGUGCAGAUGUAGACAACUGAAGCGUUCCUCUAUUACGUUGCUUAAAGAUGUACUACAAAAGACAUGAUAUUUAAGUCAACCAUAGACUAUGAGAAGGAAUUUGAGGAAUUAUAAGCGAAAAAUAAUCUGCUAAUAGAGCGCAGUGGUAAUGAAACUAGGAGCAUUUUCAGUUUACUCACCUUCCUGAAUGGGUCUAGGAAAGGACUGGGCUUGCAGAUAGAAGCGGUGGCCAUGCAACCACGUGAUUCAUUGUCAUGGUGAGGGUUGUAUGCAUUAUCUAGACCACGUGAAACUUGGAACUCUCAAUUGAAGUCUUGCUGUGUAAUAACAUAGUUUUGAAUUUGGUGGAAGUAAAAAGAAAUUUGACAGCUUUAAACAUCAU